rnacentral:rRNA from 1 species
GACGAACGCUGGCGGCGUGCUUAACACAUGCAAGUCGAACGGAAAGGCCCUGCGUUUGUGGGUUUCUCGAGUGGCGAACGGGUGAGUAACACGUGAGUAACCUGCCCUUGACUGUGGGAUAUCUUCAGGAAACUGGGGCUAAUACCGGAUAGGAGCUCCUGCUGCGUGGUGGGGGUUGGAAAGUUUCGGCUGUUGGGGCUGGACUCGCGGCUUAUCAGCCUGAUGGUGUGGUAGGGGCUUCCCAGGGCUUUGACGGGUAGCCCGCCUUGGAGGGUGACCGGCCACAUUGGGCCUGAGAUACGGCCCAGACUCCUACGGGAGGCAGCAGUGGGGAGUCUUGCACAGCGGGCGGACGCCUGAUGCAGCAACGCCGCGUGCGUGAUGCCGGCCUUCGGGUUGUGAACCGCUUUCGCCUGUGCCGAAGCGUGAGUGACGGUACUGGGUCAAGAAGCCCCGGCUAACUACGUG